GGCCGCGUACCCAAGUGGUUCAAGGGGACGGAUUGCAAAUCCGUUAUUCGUCGGUUCGAAUCCGACCGCGGCCU
rnacentral:tRNA from 4 species